CCGGACAGUUCCGGAGCUCCACGCGAGUGCCGAGCAAGAUCCAAACACUGGCUCUGAGGCGCAGCUUGGGCCCUGCCCCUCCCCCUCCCCAAGGGACAGAAGGGACAGGAUGGCGCGCGGGGGGUUGUCCCGUGUUAACCGCCUCGGCGCUGCGGGAGUCUGAAGCUCCAGGAACGGGACUCACCGGAAUGUGCACACGCAGUGACCGUCUCUUCAGGCUGGGGUUCUUUUUGCCGCCGCUCCCGCCAGGACUGGAAACCUCUUUCUUCUUCUUGGUGUCCAUGGCUGCGCUUCCCAUAACUUUUGGCAGAAGUUAAUUCCGGUGCCUCGUCCCCGGGGUUCGGUCCCCUCUCUGUCUCCUAGGGCUGCUGCCGUUACACGGGAGCCGCGCGCUCUUUAAGACUGUCCUUCCACCCCGAAAACACCUCGUGGGGACUUCCGCGGGGAGGGCGGGUGGCGCAGGUAACACGCGGGGCGGCACCCGAGGGGCUGGCGGUCCGCGGGAUGCCGGGUCGGAGCGACCUCUUCUUCCUACCAAGUCAUCGAGUGCAGAGUGAGAACCGCGCUGCUUUUGAUUACGCGUGGCAGAAAUCUCGUGCUGGGUGACAAAGUUUUCCUCCUCUUGCAAAGCGAAGCAACAUUUUCCACCUCUCGGCUCCUCCCACAGAUUCCCAGAGUGUCUCUGUUUAGGUCCGAUCCCCGGAAACACACACCCACACCCCAACCACGCUGCAAUUGAAACCACGGGCGUUAUGUGGCUCGGGAGAUUCGCACUUGCUUCACGCAACGCCGCCGCCCUGAGGCGUGGGGACCCGCAUCCCGAUCCAGAGAGGCCUGUGGCAGGGUCAAUCAGCUCUGGAAAGAGUGAAGAUGCCCUACAUCCUGCAGGGCCCGAUACUCAGCCAGGAUUUAACUCUUUAUAUAAAAACAAGCAAGCACACCCAUCCCACUAGUGUGAAGAUUCACUUUCAUUUUUGGUUCAGGAGGCUGAGUGAGUUAUACAGAGGAUCUGUCUAGCAUCUCAAUGUCACCAACUCCUUAAAAGAACAUUUGGCCCUGGUGGUUCUGACCCUGCUGUGAGAGGCCAGCUCCCACUCUUU